rnacentral:rRNA from 1 species
UACAGAGGGUGCAAGCGUUGCUCGGAAUCAUUGGGCGUAAAGGGCAAGUAGGUGGUCUCAUUUGUCUAGGGUGAAAUCCUUGAGCUUAACUCAAGAAGUGCCCUAGAAACGGUGAGACUCGAGUACUGGAGAGGGUCGUGGAAUUCCCGGUGUAGCGGUGAAAUGCGUAGAGAUCGGGAGGAACACCAGAGGCGAAGGCGGCGACCUGGACAGUUACUGACGCUGAGGCACGAAGGUCAGGGGAGCAAACGGGG